UAGGUAGCGCCUCGUGAAUUCAUCUCCGGGGGUAGAGCACUGUUUCGGCUAGGGGGCCAUCCCGGCUUACCAACCCGAUGCAAACUGCGAAUACCGGAGAAUGUUAUCACGGGAGACACACGGCGGGUGCUAACGUCCGUCGUGAAGAGGGAAACAACCCAGACCGCCAGCUAAGGUCCCAAAGUCAUGGUUAAGUGGGAAACGAUGUGGGAAGGCCCAGACAGCCAGGAUGUUGGCUUAGAAGCAGCCAUCAUUUAAAGAAAGCGUAAUAGCUCACUGGUCGAGUCGGCCUGCGCGGAAGAUGUAACGGGGCUAAACCAU
rnacentral:rRNA from 4 species